CCUACGGGAGGCAGCAGUGGGGAAUAUUGGGCAAUGGAGGCAACUCUGACCCAGCAACGCCGCGUGAAUGAUGAAGGUCUUCGGAUUGUAAAGUUCUGUGAUGGGGGAUGAACACAAUGACGGUACCCCAAUAGCAAGCCACGGCUAACUACGUGCCAGCAGCCGCGGGAAUACGUAGGUGGCAAGCGUUAUCCGGAAUGACUGGGCGUAAAGGGUGCGUAGGUGGUUUAGUAAGUUGGCGGUGUAAUUCCGGGGCGCAACCUCGGCGCUACCGCCAAAACUAUUAGACUAGAGUGCAGGAGGGGUAAGUGGAAUUCGUAGUGUAGCGGUGGAAUGCGUAGAUAUUAGGAGGAACAUCAGGGGCGAAGGCGACAUACUGGACUGUAACUGACGCUGAGGCACGAAAGCGUGGGGAGCAAACAGGAUUAGAUACCCGAGUAGUC
rnacentral:rRNA from 1 species